rnacentral:lncRNA from 1 species
AGUCACCURCCCUCCAUACCCAGGGAAACCGACUGGCAGGAAAGGGAUCGCGAGACAGAUCUGCACAAGCGCGCUCUGCUGAAAAUCACCAGCCUCCGCAGAGUGCCCUUGGGUUUCAGCCUCAGCGUUUGAACAGUCUGGCCAYCACUUAACAGAUGCGGGUCAGGUUCCCAGAGAUGCCCAACCCUGAUGCCAAAGAGAAUCGGAGAGAUCUACAAGGGGCUUAAAGAGGCAGCAGCACUGCUUUUCAGGUCAAGGCCACCUAAAACCCAUCUUCCAUAGAUCUCAGCACUGUCCUGCCUCUGCCAUACCACACACCCGACUGGAAG